rnacentral:rRNA from 1 species
CGCGUGAGAAUCGAGCUUCAGGUCGGGGUAAACAGAGGGAAACCGCUGCUAAAACCGGAUGAACCUACGGGUGAAAGAUUAAUUGCCAGAAGAUGAGCUCGCGUCCGAUUAGCUAGUUGGCAGGGUAAUGGCCUACCAAGGCGGCGAUCGGUAGCUGGUCUGAGCGGACGAUCAGCCACACUGGGACUGAGACACGGCCCAGACACCUACGGGAGGCAGCAGUGGUUUAUUUUCCGCAAUGGGCGAAAGCCUGACGCCGCAAUACCGCGUGAGGGAGGAGGGCUCUUGGGUUCCGAACCUCUUUUCUCAAGGAAGAAGCAAUGACGGUACUUGAGGAAUCAGCAUCGGAUAACUCCGUGCCAGCAGCCGCGGUAAUACGGAGGAUGCAAGCGUUAUCCGGAAUGAAUGGGCGUAAAGCGUCCGCAGGUGGCAAUGCAAGUCUGCUGUCAAACGCUGGGG